rnacentral:tRNA from 1 species
UCCCUGGUGGUCCAGUGGUUAACACUGUGCUCCAAAUGCAGGGGGCUGGGUUCGAUCCCUGGUCAGGGAA